GGCGGGUGUGGUGGUGCACACCUGUGGUCCCAGCUACUUGGGAGGCUGAGGUGGGAGGAUCACUUGAUCCCAGGAGUUCAAGGCUGCAGUGAGCCAUGAUCACGCCACUGCACUCCAGCCUGGGUGACAGAGUGAGACCCUAUCUCUA
ensembl:misc_RNA Metazoa_SRP Metazoan signal recognition particle RNA